GAUGAACGCUGGCGGCGUGCUUAACACAUGCAAGUCGAACGAAGCUGUUAAAAGGAAGUCUUCGGAUGGAAUUUUAACAGACUUAGUGGCGGACGGGUGAGUAACGCGUGGAUAACCUGCCUUAUACAGGGGGAUAACGGAGAGAAAUUUCCGCUAAGACCGCAUAAGACCACAGCACCGCAUGGUGCAGGGGUAAAAUAUUAAUAGGUAUAAGAUGGAUCCGCGUCCGAUUAGCUAGUUGGUGAGGUAGAGGCUCACCAAGGCGACGAUCGGUAGCCGGCCUGAGAGGGUGAACGGCCACAUUGGGACUGAGACACGGCCCAAACUCCUACGGGAGGCAGCAGUGGGGAAUAUUGGACAAUGGGGGAAACCCUGAUCCAGCGACGCCGCGUGAGUGAAGAAGUAUUUCGGUAUGUAAAGCUCUAUCAGCA
rnacentral:rRNA from 1 species